UCAGUGCCUUUCUUAACUAAUCCUGUCACUGUAAAAUCCUACAGUCAUUCUUCCACACAUAAAGGGAAAACGGACUCACUAGGAGGACCUAGACUCUUUCAGCUUGAACUGUUAACCAAUGGUGGAAAUGCAAGAAUGCUGAAGUUGUGCCUUCAGAGCCAAUAGAGUGGAUUUGUGUGUCCCACAUGACUGUGUUUCCUCUGUCUUUCACAUGGGCAGUAUUUAGUUCAAUUCAGAACUGCAGAUAGUAUAGCGUGCAGAGCAGCAAUGGGAUGUCUGAGCACAAGUGGCUGACUUCCAGGCGACUUCAGGAAGCACAUUUGUACAUUUCUCCUGAAUUUAACUGGGAUUCUGCACCCUUGACACCCUCCGACCCUCCUUGUCUCUGCAGAAGGAGACAGCGACCUGCACAGCACAACAAAACUCACAGCAAGAGCAGACCUGCAAAAAAGAAUUCUGACCAGCUGAGCAUCGAGAACGCCUUCUGCAGAAGAAUUCUGCUCCCAAAUGCAAAUAAGAAAGAAGUUUGGGAAACUGCCAGCUCCUUGCACAAAGACUGAAUUACGAUGGGCAGAGAAGGGUGUUGGUAAGAGAAAAAUGACUGAAGUUGCAUCAUCUGUAUGCUUAAAAUCAUUGUGUGAAUUUUGAUUUUCCCCCCCUCCUUUCAGACAUUUGAGGAUGCGGUCAAGUCAAUGGAGUUCUGUUGUAGUGGUUGCUUCAGUGAACAUUCAACGCUGUCGGUGAGUUUGGAAUUAAAGUGAAAACCAUCGACCGUUGAUUGUACCCUCCAGCUAACCAUCCUCCUCCUUACUUCAUGCUUUCAGGCCUUAACACCGAAGAUAGCAACCUAACCAUCAUAUGAUGUUUCUCCCCCACCCUGCCAAGCUUUACAAAAAAGGUCACAAUCAACAUUCAUUGCUGUCGGUGGGUUUAACUUUGUGGACAAGCUCACUGAACAAUGAAUGCAACUGUGGCCCCACAUUUUACAGUUGCCGUUGAGAGGAACAGCAGCUCUGAAAGCAGUAGUGAGAAACAAACUUCUUAUAAGCUACAUUUUUCUGGUCAGAAAAACAGUUGGGAGUAUUCACUUUUUGCUUGCUUGUUUUUAAGUGUGUUUAACUUAGCUGACUAGAAAAAAAAAACACUGCCUUUUUCUGGAAUAUUGUCCUUACAGGGUUGAGUAUUACUGAAACCAUAAAAACUCUUAUUUAGUAUGUGUGCAGAAAUAAAUAACUGUACAGGAAACUCUGUAUAUCCA
rnacentral:lncRNA from 1 species